AGGACGAACGCUGGCGGCGUGCUUAACACAUGCAAGUGGAGCGACGAACCGGGGCUUGCCCCGGGGCAGAGCCGCGAACGGGUGAGUAACACGUGGGUAACCCACCUCGAUGAUUGGGACAACCCGGGGAAACUCGGGCUAAUACCAAAUGUGCUCGUAGACCAUGAGGUCCAUGAGUAAAGAUAGCUUCGGCCUUCGCAUCGAGACGGCCCGCGGCCCAUUAGCUUGUUGGUGAGGUAACGCUCACCAAGGCGACGA
rnacentral:rRNA from 1 species